rnacentral:rRNA from 1 species
CACGUAGGGCGCAAGCGUUGUCCGGAAUUAUUGGGCGUAAAGAGCUCGUAGGCGGUCUGCUACGUCCGCUGUGAAAACCUAGGGCUUAACCCUGGGCUUGCAGUAGAUACGGGCAGACUAGAGGUAGGUAGGGGAGAAUGGAAUUCCCGGUGUAGCGGUGAAAUGCGCAGAUAUCGGGAGGAACACCGGUGGCGAAGGCGGUCUGCUGGGCAGUUGCUGACACUGAUGCGCGAAAGCGUGGGGAGCAAACAGG